CCUUUAUCCAAGGAGACUUACAGAGACUAAGUUUGAAAUGGAUACCCAGGCAGUGUGAGAGUCUCACAGCAGCAAAGUAUUUCUGUUCUUCAAGAGCCUGUAUGGUACAGCGGCACAACUGUGUUUAACGCAACAAAACAAAACCUCAAUGUACAAGGCCCUCCUCCUGUCUGCAGAGUGGAUUACAGUAACCUGGAGAGAGGCGCAAGCAAGGGGGGCAGUCUGGAUAAAACUGUAAAGUCAGGACAACUCUGAGCACAGCACACGUCCGGCAGCACCUUGUGAGCUCAACACAGACCGAGAGAUAACAAGGGACCGGCAGAAAGAAAGUAAAGAAAAAGAGGAGAACUGGGGGAGUUUCUUUGUGGGUGGAGCUGCUGGCAAGUUUUUAGGACCCACUCCCCCUCCCCCCAAUCUCAUCUUGCCAUUGCUGUUUAAUAAUCCGGCAUCACAGGGGACAGCUUGGCCUGGCUUGACUUUACCAGGGAACAAGUGUUUUUUUUUUUUUUUUUCUUCUUGUACAGGGUUUUUUUUCACUCUCACAAAAAAAAGUGGGCGUUUCAGGUUCAUUGCUGCUUGUACAUAAUUUUUUUCUUUUUUUUUUAAAUAGCAAAGGAGUGUACUUUUUUUUAUUCCUUGUUGUUGUUUAUUAAUAUUAUUAUUAUAAACAACAAACCGUAUUUAACAGAUACAGGAUUCACGCUAGAACUUCACCUGCAAUCGGACAGCACGUUUCAAAACAAGGAUUAUAAUUAGACAAAAAUAUAUAUAUUUUUUUUCUCUACUGACCAGCUGAUCUGUGCACUCAUGUAGUGUUAAAAGCUGCACCACAUUUUUUAUUGUUUUUGUUAUUAUUAUUACUAUUUAAUUUUUCAUUUCUGUAAGAUUUAUUUUUUCCUCAAUUUGGGAGGCAGUGGAUUAAGUCUCGUGGGAUCCUCCGCCAUGGCGAGUAACAGCAGUUCCUGCCCCAACCCACAAGGGGGCACUCACCUCAAUGGCUACCCCGUGCAGCACUACCCCUUCUUCUUCCCGCAUGUAAUUGGGGGUCUCUCACCCCCCGGCCUCGCCGCACUCCAGCAUCAGCUACCAGUCAGCAGCUACAGCACUCCGUCUC